GUGAUGAACUAUUUCAGGAGAGAGAUUUUCAUUGGGCAGUUAUAGGAAACUUAGCCCGCGAAAGUAUGGUCCAUUCUGCAUACGUCGAAAGCUGAAGAACCUAUUAAUUGGAUCUUCUAGACAACGUCUAGAUUUUCCCAAUUUUCAACGUCGCCGACCGGUACCAGUUCCAUGGAGAUCCACCAGAAGCAGUUGCAGUUUCAGAUCUACCCAGCACCAGGUCAGAGUCCAAUUUCCAUGAGGGUAUUGAGAAUAUUCUUGACGUGCGAUCAGUAGACACUAGGUGUGGGCAGUACCGCAGAUUUCUUGUGCGUUAGCAAGGGUGACCUAUGUUAGACGGUUCAUGGAUCAGCGAAGAAGAGUUCA
rnacentral:lncRNA from 1 species